AACGAACGCUGGCGGCAUGCCUAACACAUGCAAGUCGAACGGGAUCCUGGCUUCGGUCAGGUGAGAGUGGCGGACGGGUGAGUAACGCGUGGGAACCUGCCCAGUGGUGGGGGAUAACUGCGGGAAACUGCAGCUAAUACCGCAUGAGCCCGAGAGGGGAAAGAUUUAUCGCCAUUGGAGGGGCCCGCGUUCGAUUAGGUAGUUGGUGGGGUAAAGGCCUACCAAGCCGACGAUCGAUAGCUGGUCUGAGAGGAUGAUCAGUCACACUGGAACUGAGACACGGUCCAGACUCCUACGGGAGGCAGCAGUGGGGAAUAUUGCACAAUGGACGAAAGUCUGAUGCAGCAACGCCGCGUGGAGGAUGACACAUUUCGGUGCGUAAACUCCUUUUAUAUGAGAAGAUAAUGACGGUAUUAUAUGAAUAAGCACCGGCUAACUCCGUG
rnacentral:rRNA from 1 species